rnacentral:rRNA from 1 species
AUUGAACGCUGGCGGCAGGCUUAACACAUGCAAGUCGAGCGGAGAUGAGGUGCUUGCACCUUAUCUUAGCGGCGGACGGGUGAGUAAUGCUUAGGAAUCUGUCUAUUAGUGGGGGACAACAUUCCGAAAGGAAUGCUAAUACCGCAUACGCCCUACGGGGGAAAGCAGGGGAUCUUCGGACCUUGCGCUAAUAGAUGAGCUUAAGUCGGAUUAGCUAGUUGGUGGGGUAAAGGCCUACCAAGGCGACGAUCUGUAGCGGGUCUGAGAGGAUGAUCCGCCACACUGGGACUGAGACACGGCCCAGACUCCUACGGGAGGCAGCAGUGGGGAAUAUUGGACAAUGGGCGGAAGCCUGAUCCAGCCAUGCCGCGUGUGUGAAGAAGGCCUUUUGGUUGUAAAGCACUUUAAGCGAGGAGGAGGCUACCUGGAUUAAUACUCUAGGAUAGUGGACGUUACUCGCAGAAUAAGCACCGGCUAACUCUGUGCCAGCAGCCGCGGUAACAC